GCCGAUGUGGCGGAAUUGGCAGACGCGCUGUGUUCAGGUCGCAGUGAGUGUACGCUCGUGCGAGUUCGAAUCUCGCCAUCGGCAC
rnacentral:tRNA from 1 species